rnacentral:rRNA from 1 species
GACGAACGCUGGCGGCGUGCUUAACACAUGCAAGUCGAACGGAAAGGCCCUGCUUUUGUGGGGUGCUCGAGUGGCGAACGGGUGAGUAACACGCGAGUAACCUGCCCUUGACUUUGGGAUAACUUCAGGAAACUGGGGCUAAUACCGGAUAGGAGCUCCUGCUGCAUGGUGGGGGUUGGAAAGUUUCGGCGGUGGGGGAUGGACUCGCGGCUUAUCAGCUUGUUGGUGGGGUAGUGGCUUACCAAGGCUUUGACGGGUAGCCGGCCUGAGAGGGUGACCGGCCACAUUGGGACUGAGAUACGGCCCAGACUCCUACGGGAGGCAGCAGUGGGGAAUAUUGCACAGUGGGCGGAAGCCUGAUGCAGCAACGCCGCGUGCGGGAUGACGGCCUUCGGGUUGUAAACCGCUUUCGCCUGUGACGAAGCGUGAGUGACGGUAAUGGGUAAAGAAGCACCGGCUAACUACGUG